AUUGAACGCUGGCGGCAUGCCUUACACAUGCAAGUCGAACGGCAGCACGGGAGCAAUCCUGGUGGCGAGUGGCGAACGGGUGAGUAAUAUAUCGGAACGUGCCCAGUCGUGGGGAUAACGUAGCGAAAGCUACGCUAAUACCGCAUACGAUCUAUGGAUGAAAGCGGGGGAUCGCAAGACCUCGCGCGAUUGGAGCGGCCGAUAUCAGAUUAGGUAGUUGGUGAGGUAAAGGCUCACCAAGCCGACGAUCUGUAGCUGGUCUGAGAGGACGACCAGCCACACUGGGACUGAGACACGGCCCAGACUCCUACGGGAGGCAGCAGUAGGGAAUUUUUGGGACAAUGGGCGCAAGCCUGAUCCAGCAAUGUCGCGUGCAGGAUGAAGGCCU
rnacentral:rRNA from 1 species